GAUGAACGCUGGCAGAAUGCUUAACACAUGCAAGUCGACCGGAAUUUGGGUGCUUACCUUAGGUUUGGGUGGCGGACGGGUGAGUAACGCGUAAAGAACUGGCCUCACAGCUAGGGACAACACUUGGAAACGAAUGCUAUUACCCAAUAUUAUGAUAAUAGGGCAUCCUAUAAUUAUGAAAGCUAUAAGCGCUGUGAGAGAGCUUUGCGUCCAAUUAGCUAGUUGGAGAGGUAACGGCUCACCAAGGCGAUGAUGGGUAGCCGGCCUGGGAGGGUGAUCGGCCACAAGGGGCCUGAGAGACGGCCCUUAGUCGUACGGGAGGCAGCAGUGGGAAAUAUUGGACAAUGGACCGAGAGUCUGGUAGAACAAUUCUGUGUGGAAGAUGAAGUUUUUCGGAAUGUAAAGUGAUUUCAGUUGGGAAGAAACGAAUGACGGUAACAACCGAAGAAGUGACGGCUAAAUACGUG
rnacentral:rRNA from 1 species